GUGCUCACUUUGGCAGCACAUAUACUAAAAUUGAAAUGAUAAUAGAGAUUAGCAAGGCCCCUGGGCCAAGGAUGACACAAAUUCAUGAAAAAACCCAAUUUAAA
ensembl:snRNA U6 U6 spliceosomal RNA